rnacentral:sRNA from 1 species
GCCAGGAGCAGUGGCGUGCGCUUGUAAUCCCAGCAGCUCUGGAGGCUGAAGCAGGAGAAUCAUGAGUUCAAAGCCAGCCUCAGCAAAAGUGAGGCUCUAAGCAACUCAGUGAGACCUUGUUUCUA